CUUUUAUUCAUGUGUACUGUCUAUAUUCAUUUUUUGAAAAUAAAUUUUUAUUAAUUUUCCAUACAGUUAUACAUUUUUAUCCAAAAUACAACAAAUUGUCUCUUUCUUGAACUUCCUUCAGCGUCUCUGAGAAUCAUCCGUAUUUAUAACUUUAAUUACACAUUCCCUUCUUUCGUUUUGCCAUUAUACUUCCCUUCCCCCACUAUUUCAUAUUAACAAUACUUCUCUAUUUUACAGUGCCUCUUGAAAACCCACUAGCGUUGUGUUCACACCACAUAUGUUUUUCAGAUAAUCAACAAACUUUCCCCAGUCUUUGAUGAACUUUUGGUCUUUGGUGUAUCUGAUUUUCCCAGUUAAUUUGUCCAAUUCACGUAAUCUGUCAAUUUCAGUCUCCAUUCUUCUAUCAUCGGUAUUUCCUCUUGCUUCCAUUUCUGGGCCAACAGGAUUCUGGCUGCCGUUACUGCAUAUUGAAAGAGUUUACAGUCUUUUCUUCUUAUAUCCUUUCCUAGGAUCCCUAAAAGAAAAGCCUCCGUUUUUUUUACAAAAGUAUAUCUUAACAUAUUUUUCAUUUCAUUGUAUAUCAUUUCCCAAAAGCUUUUCACUUUCUUACAUUCCCACCACACAUGAAAGAACGUCCCUUCUUUUUCUUUACAUUUCCAACAUUUGUUACACGUCUUAUACAUUGUACUUUCCAAAGCUCAGCCCACUUUAUUAAUGUAUUUACUGGAUAUUCCCCAUAGCCCAGUUUUUUAGGAUGAUGCAUAGUGUUGGCAUUUGUCUUAGAUCUCUCACUUAGCCAGCUUUUGCUCAGGGCAAAACAAAACAGACAUCUGCUUAAAAUGUAUAUACAAUAGAGUGACUAUUUUAAUGAACUGGGCUGCAGUUCUGCCAAAUGCAUGCUGGAAACGAUACAAGCUGUACUGUGAACUUGCUUGACAAAUGUGCUCAAAUUGCUCUCCUGCCAGUGUAUAUUCGUAACCACAUGCAACUGAAUGCUAAGUGAAAACUAAAAAUGUCAGUAAUGCAUUUCUCCCUACUCAGGGUGAGUUAGAAAAAGAAAUCUUCCUGUGCAGUAAAGUUGCCUCCAAAAGAUGAAAUAAGACAACACUGCCAGUAGCGGAACUGUUUGAUCAAGUUCUACUGUACUUGAUUCAAGGAAUAACAUUCUCAGUGAAUCUCUAUAUUGGUAAGUUGGGGAUAUAUUAAGCGUAGCUGCACGUUCCAUACUUUUGCAAGCAAUGCCAGAUGGCCUGCAAAACAGAUUUUUGAACAUGUACGUAUGUUAUUCUCUAGAGCAGGGAUGGGGAACCUAUGGCUCUCCAGAUGUUGUUGAGCUCCAACUCCAUAAGCUCCAACCAGCAUGGACCGCAGUCAGGAACAAUGGCAACUGCAACCCAAUAUCUGGAGGGUCACAGGUUACCCAUCACUUUAUUUUUUUUUUUUAAAAGCAAUUUAUUAGGUUUUACAAUAGGAAUAAAUGUAAUAAACAAUAUAGCAUUCGUCUUAACAUAUUUUCACAUUUUCUUAGGACUUCCUCACAUCUCCCGCUCCCACCUUCAUCAUUAUAACAUUUUGUCAGCAAUUUAUCAUCUUAUUUAAAUUCUUAAAUCUCUUCGAUAUUUCAUAAUCUUAAAGUUCUCAUAAAGAGUUAAGCUUUCACAAUUUUUCUUGUUUCCUUAAAAAUUUCUAAGUUAAGUGGUGCUCAGUUAUUUAGUCCAGCAUCUUAUUCAGCAUUCAAUCAAAUCACAAUGUUUUUGUAGGUAGUUCUUAAAUUUCUUCCAAUCCUCCUCGAUUCUCUCUUCUCCCAGGUCACGGAUUCUGCCAGUCAUUUCAGCCAGUUGCAUAUAGUCUAUCAGUUGCAUCUGCCAUUCUUCCAGUGUGGGUAGAUCUUGGGUUUUCCAAUGUUUUGCAAGUAGUAUCCUUGCUGCUGUUGUUGCGUACAUAAAAAUUGUCUGGUCCUUCUUUGCCACCCCUUGGCUGACAAUACCCAAAAGGAAAGCCUCUGGUUUCUUAGUGAAAGUAUAUUUAAAUACCUUUUUCAAUUCAUUGUAAAUCAUUUCCCAGAACGCCUUCACUUUAGGGCAUGUCCACCAGAGGUGAAAGAACGUUCCUUCACACUCUUUGCAUUUCCAGCACUUGUUAUCAGACAGGUGGUAAAUUUUUGCGAGUUUGACUGGGGUCAUAUACCAUCUAUAAAUCAUUUUCAUUACAUUUUCUUUCAAAGCAUUACAUGCAGUAAAUUUCAAUCCAUUACUCCACAGCCUUUCCCAGUCCUCAAACAUAAUAUUGUACCCAAUGUCCUGUGCCCACCUUAUCAUAGCCGAUUUAACCAUUUCAUCUUGUGUAUUCCAUUCCAACAGCAAGUUAUACAUCCUUGAAAGUAUCUUAGUCUUUGGUUCUAACAAUUCUGUUUCUAAUUUCGAUUUCUCCACCUGGAACCCUAGUUUCUUAUCACUUUUAAAAACUUCUUUAAUCUGAGCAUAGUGUAACCAAUCUCGCACUUUGUCUUUCAUUUUCUCCAAGCUCUGCAAUUUCCAAUUGUCUCCAUCUUUUCUAGUAUUUCCCAAUAUUUUGGCCAUUUGGCCUCCAUAUUGGGUCUUUUCGGGCCUUAGCUUCCAAAGGUGAAAGCCACCUUGGUGUUUUAUUUUCCAGCAAGUCUUUAUAUUUUGUCCAGACAUUAAACAGUGAUUUUCUAACAAUAUGGUUCUUAAAGGCCUUAUUUGCUUUAACUUUGUCAUACCAUAAAUAUGCAUGCCAUCCAAAAACAUUGUUAAACCCCUCCAAAUCUAACACAUCAGUGUCUUCAAGAAGUAGCCAGUCUUUUAGCCAGCAGAACGCUGCGGCUUCAUAGUACAACUUUAAGUCCGGCAGGGCAAAGCCCCUCUUUGUUUUGCAUCGGUUAGUAUCUUAAACUUAAUUCUGGGCUUUUGCCCUGCCAGACAAACUUCGAAAUAUCUCUCUGCCACUUCUGAAAGCACCCCAUUUUGUCCAAUACCUGCAGUGUUUGAAAUAAAAACAACAUUCUUGGCAAUACAUUCAUCUUAAUCGCAGCAAUUCGGCCUAACAAAGAAAGUUUCAAUUUUGACCAACUGUCUAAGUCUCUCUUAAUUUCUGUCCAACAUUUUUCAUAAUUAUCCUUAAAUAGACUUAGAUUUUUUGCUGUUAUGUUUACCCCUAGGUAUUUUACUUUUUUAACCACAUUAAGUUCCGUCUCAUUCUGAAACCGUUCUGACUCUGUCUCAGUCAGAUUUUUCCCCAAAACCUUAGUUUUCUGUUUGUUUAAUUUAAAUCCCGCCACCCGACCAAAGUCAUUAAUCAAUUGUAAUACUCUUUUCGUACUAGGCUCUGGCUUCUGCAAGGUCAAAACCAGGUCAUCUGCAAAAGCUUUUAAUUUAUAUUGUUUCUGACCAACCUGAAUUCCUUCCACCAGCUGGUCCCUCUGAUCAUGUUCAAUAGCACCUCCAGGACCGAGAUAAAUAACAAAGGGGAAAUAGGGCAACCUUGUCGUGUCCCUUUUUCAAUUUUGAACUCUUCUGUAACCACAUUAUUAACUAUCAGUUUUGCUUUCUGUUCUGAAUAUAUCGCCUCAAUCCCAUUCUCAAAACCCCGUCCCACUCCCAUCUCUUUUAAGUUUCCCAUCAUAAAUUUCCAAGAAAUGUUAUCAAAGGCCUUCUCCGCAUCUAUAAAAAUUAAAACAGCUUUUGUAUUUAUGUCAGUUUGGAGAAGUUCCAAAAUAUCAAUAAUGUUCCUUGUGUUAGCAAACAAAUGUCUACCUGGGAGAAAACCGGCCUGGUCCUUAUGAAUUACUUCAUUUAAAACUUUUUUUAAAUCUACUUGCCAAAAUAUCUGCAAAUAUUUUGUAAUCCACAUUUAAAAGGGAGAUGGGACGGUAGUUCUUCAGUUGUGUCUUUUCAGUUUCUAACUUUGGUAUCAAUGUGAUAAACGCUUCCUUCCACGAAUCCGGUGCCCUCUUCCCCUCCAUAAUUUCAUUGCUAACCUCCAUCAAAGGUUGUAUCAAAUAGUCUUUUAGUGUCUUGUAAUACUUGGAGGUCAGCCCGUCUGGCCCUGGAGAUUUGCCAAGUUGCAUGUUCUGAAUGGCUUGUUCAAUCUCCUGUCGUGUUAUUUUAGAGUUCAGGAUUGUCCUAUUUUCUUGUGACAGUUUAGAUAAUCCAUUUUUGGCAAAAAUUGUUUAAUCUCAACUUCGUCUUGCGGCCCUUGGGUAUAUAACUUUUAAAAUAUCUCUGGAAACACUUUCUAAUGUCCACUGGAUUCUGAAUGUUUCUUCCAUCAACCUCUAAAUUUGUAACCGUGUUUAAUCUUUGUCUUCUCUUCAACUGCCAAGAUAGCAGUUUUCCACAUUUAUUCGCCGACUCAAACGUUUUUUGUUUCAUUAAUUUGAUCUUCCAUUCAAUUUCCUGAUUUAUCAAUUUAGAAUACUGUGUUUGAUAAAGUUUAAUUUCUCUCAGAGUUGGCUGUGACUUUAGAUUCACUCUUAAUUUCUUCUCCAAGUCUUUUAUUUUAUCCAAAAUCUUGUCUUUUUUCUCAUUUUGUGUUUUUUUCUUUACUACAUUCUGUUGUAUCAGAAAACCCCUCAUGACAGCUUUGCUUGCGUCCCAGACGAUUCUUUUUUCCACCGAAUUGUUCAUAUUUAUCUCAAAAUAAUCUUUCAAAACUUUUUGGGCCUUCUUGGUAAUUUCCUGAUCUCUAAACAAAUUGUCAUUCAUCUUCCAUCUAAAGGAUCCAGUUGGUAGUAGUGUCAUGUCCAUCUUUACUGCGUUGUGGUCAGAACAGGUCUUUGGGCAGAUUUCCACUUUUCUAACCCUAGGUGCCAGGCCUCUAGAGAUCCAUAUUUGGUCGAUUCUUGUCCAGGUCAGUUGGGCUUCAGAAAAGAAUGUUCCUUCUCUACCUAGUGGGUUUUUGUUCUCCAAAUGUCGAUCAAGUCCAUAUUGUCAGUCAUUUCAAAAAAGGUUUUAGGUAGUCUGCCAUCUUUUGUGAUGUUUUGACUUUGCGACUUGUCCAUGUUAGUUGACACGACCCCGUUCAUGUCUCCCAUCAUUAUGAUGUUGUUGUAAUCCAGAUGAUCCAGCAUUGUCCCCUGCAACUUCUUGUAAAAUUCCGAUUUCCCUUCAUUAGGCGCAUAGAUUCCUAAUAUCAGCAAUUUCUCUCCUUGAUAUUGUAUCUCAAUAGCCAAAAUCCUUCCAUGUUCAUCUUUAAAUAGAAAUUUAGGUGACAGGCUCUCUUUUGCAUAUAUCACCACUCCUCUCUUCUUCACUUUAUCCGACGAAAUAAAUUCCUGGCCCAAUCUUUUAUUUGUUAACACUUUUCUGUGGAGCCUCGUCACAUGUGUUUCUUGUAAACAAAUAAUGUCCAAUUGUUCUUUUUUUAAUAUAUGAAAAAUUUUCUUCCUUUUCUCCGGGAUAUUGCAACCAUUAAUAUUCCAGCUCAACAGUUGCAGAGACAUCCUGGAUCUAUCUGGUUAUUUCUCCUGGGGUGGUGUCUUCUCUUGAUCUUCAAGUUCCCGAGGUGGAGGUAUUGAUGCUGGCUUUGCCUCAGGCCCGGAAGGUAAUUCAAUUCCUUUAUGUAGGUCCUCUCCGUGUGUAGCCAAAAAUUUAUCUCUCUCUUCCAAUGUUCUAAUUUUAACCUUUCUCGCUCUAAAGGUAAAAGACAAUCCCUGGGGAAAAUCCCACCUGAAUGGAAUUGCGUUGCUCCUUAAUAGUUUAGCUAGUUCAGAAUAGGCGGCUCUAAGAUCCAACAGUUGUCUUGGGAUAUCUUUAUAUAUCUCAAUUCUUCUAUCCAAAACUUCCAGUGACUUUUCGUAAUGUAGGCCCAAAAUCUUAUCCCUUUCCUCCUUCGAUCUCAAUGUAAUCAAACAAUCCCUGGGCCUCUCCUUCUUUAUAAAUCUUCCAAGUCUGAAAGCUGACACAAUUUUAAAGUCCUUUUCUUCCAAAUUCCAGAACUUGGAGAGUUCUUUGGUCAAAAACUCAGUUAGAUUUCCUUCUUCUGCCUCUUGUAAUGAUCUAAUCCUCAGAUUAUUCUCACGAUUUCGCAGUUCUAUCAUAGAAAGAUAAAUCUGAUGUUCCCCAACUUGUUUAGUGAGUGGUCUUACCUCUUGCUCUAAAUUUUCCAAUUUUUGUCUGGUGUCCUCAGCCAAUUUUCGAUUUUCUACUGAGGCCUCCGUCAACUGUCCAAUUGCUUGUGUAUUCUGUCCCACCUGUGUAGUUAAUUUGUUUAGACACUCUGUAUUUUUAUCAAUCUUUGCUGAUUGCGCAUCUACUUUCUUGUCCAAAGCUUCCAAUUUUUCAAAGAUUUUUCUAGCACAGAAGCAGAUGCUCCUGAGGCCAUAUCUUCCAAUUGUAACUGCUCUACUUCACCCUCUCCCUCUUUUGCCUGUGGCAAGGCAGCUUCUUCAAGUUGUACUUCUGAGGGCAAAGUAGGCACAGAUGAUCUACGUGUCUGCGAGGCUGAGGUUAGAUUUGUUAGAGUUGUUUGUCUAACUCUUCCUCUUCUUCUUGUACCACUCAUUCCAAUGUUAUCUAUCAGUCAAGGUCACACUGAGUUUUCCCACAGGAAUAGAGAGUCCCAGAGCAAGCAGACAACAAGAGAAUCGAAAGUAAAUGUUUUUAUAAAGUCACUGUUUUAAUCCAAUCCUCUAGAGGAGCUUAAAAUGUCUUUUCAGAGUCUGAUUUAAUGUCCCAGAACCUUCCAAUAUAAGUAUUAAGCAGAGUUUAAAGGUAAUCACUUUGUUGCAGACAGUGCCUAUUUGUCUCCAAAAAGAAUGUUUCAAAUUUAAAAUGUCUCAAUGCCCUCAAAUUGUUGCAACUUCCAGUAUACAGUAUCCAAGUCAAACACUGACAGCCCACUGUUACAAUGCUCAGGCAGUCCUGACUCUGAGGUUACCCAUCACUUUAGAGGCUCUUAGAGCUAAAGUCCCAUUGCGCAAAGUCCAGAAUAGCAAGAGAAAAUAAAAAUCCAGAGAGAUUGUGGAGAAUACUUAUGCAAAAAGUAGUAACUCUUCCUGUAUUUGUGGACAACAAUGAGUAGCACUAGGGAUUCCCAGUCGCAAUGGUUUACAUAUUGAAAUGCCAUCACAAUACAAUGUACAGUACAGGGCAAGUAGGCUCAGUCUUGCUUCUAUAAAACCUCUACCUUUUCCCUUAUUUUCAACCACCAAGGCUCACAGAGCACUGCAGCUAAGGCAGGAGAACUCCCUUAUCCACCUCUCCUGCAGUGCUGGGCCAGAUCUUCUGUGGCACAAGCUUCAAUGGUUCCCCAUCUGUUACAAAUAGACAUGUUUAGGUUGCACAGACACACGGUUUGUGCACGUCUUCUGUGUCACACGAAAGAAACAUGUGCUGCAUUUUUGGACCCAAGCUCCACCAACCUUUCUGCACGUUAUAAAACAGACUUUGUCUCUCAUCAUCUUGUGAAGUAUUGGCAGAGAUUCAACUGUGACAUAAUAUGCAACAAUGUCAUAAGGGAAUAGGUUGCUAAUCAUAGUUCUGCAGAGUUAGGAGGGACUCCGGGGUAAUCUAGUCCAACCCCCUGAAAUGCAGAAAUAUCAACAUGCCCCACUGGAUAGUCCCCCAUCUAAUUUGAAAUCAUGCCAGGCUCUACUUAGCUUUGCAAGUGUGCUAACAGUUUUAUUGCUGCACUGCAAGCUUCAACAGCAGAACAUCAGAUACAGACCAAAACCAUGAGGCUACAACCUUUUACACAUCUAUGUGUGCAGAAGCACAGCUGUAAACAUUGAUGGCAUUU